rnacentral:rRNA from 1 species
AUUGAACGCUGGCGGCAUGCCUUACACAUGCAAGUCGAACGGCAGCACGGGAGCAAUCCUGGUGGCGAGUGGCGAACGGGUGAGUAAUAUAUCGGAACGUGCCCAGUAGUGGGGGAUAACUGCUCGAAAGAGCAGCUAAUACCGCAUACGACCUGAGGGUGAAAGGGGGGGAUCGCAAGACCUCUCGCGAUUGGAGCGGCCGAUAUCAGAUUAGCUAGUUGGUGGGGUAAAGGCCUACCAAGGCAACGAGCUGUUGUUGGUCUGAGAGGACGACCAGCCACACUGGGACUGAGACACGGCCCAGACUCCUACGGGAGGCAGCAGUGGGGAAUUUUGGACAAUGGGCGCAAGCCUGAUCCAGCAAUGCCGCGUGCAGGAAGAAGGCCUUCGGGUUGUAAACUGCUUUUGUCAGGGAAGAAAUCCUCUAGGUUAAUACCCUUGGGGGGAUGACGGUACCUGAAGAAUAAGCACCGGCUAACUACGUGCCAGCCGCCGCCGUAACAC